GAUGAACGCUGGCGGCGUGCCUAAUACAUGCGAGUCGAGCGAACAGACGAGGAGCUUGCUCCUCUGACGUUAGCGGCGGACGGGUGAGUAACACGUGGAUAACCUACCUAUAAGACUGGGAUAACUUCGGGAAACCGGAGCUAAUACCGGAUAAUAUAUUGAACCGCAUGGUUCAAAAGUGAAAGACGGUUUUGCUGUCACUUAUAGAUGGAUCCGCGCCGCAUUAGCUAGUUGGUAAGGUAACGGCUUACCAAGGCAACGAUGCGUAGCCGACCUGAGAGGGUGAUCGGCCACACUGGAACUGAGACACGGUCCAGACUCCUACGGGAGGCAGCAGUAGGGAAUCUUCCGCAAUGGGCGAAAGCCUGACGGAGCAACGCCGCGUGAGUGAUGAAGGUCUUCGGAUCGUAAAACUCUGUUAUUAGGGAAGAACAAAUGUGUAAGUAACUAUGCACGUCUUGACGGUACCUAAUCAGAAAGCCACGGCUAACUACGUG
rnacentral:rRNA from 1 species